GAUGAAGACAUUGGAUUCUGGCUCCUUUUUGUCCUUGGUUUGGUAAGACAGUUGGUUUUCUUAUCUUGGUAAAGAAUUGGGGUUCAGGGAUAUGGAAGAGAGAAGGGGUGGAGGGGCGAGAUUUAUUUAGUUGGGGGAGCUCGAGCACCGACGGGGUGGGAGCGGGACAUAGAAGACGAAGAAGAGGUUUUAGCGUUUGGGUGGGCUCACCGCCUUCACACCCUGUGGGUUGUGCCCUGUGCUCCUGGGUCAAGCCUAGUUGCCCACACUUCACAUCUCGACUGGUCCCUUCCCUAGCCUCCAGUGGUGCGGAAGCGGCGGCGAUGGCGCCAUGAGGGGGGCGGCGUGCAGGAGGGAGUCAGGAUGCGACUAAUGGCGAUGUCACUGCGAGCGAGGUGGGCGUGAGGAGGGGUUUGAGGGUGCAGAGGACAGCUGCGAGGAUGUGGUGGGCGACCAUGACAAGGCAGAUCGAAGGUCAUUUUGAAAUGUUUUCCCUGCGAUUAAUGCACCUUACUACCACAAUUCAGGUUUCAGGCUUUCAAUUCUUUAUGAGCUUCUUUAAGAUGUGAGGUAGUAAAUGGUUUUGCCUUCUUAACGCAAGGAGGUAAAUUGCCCUAAAAUAUGUGAUGUUGAGAGUAAGUUAGGGUACUAAGCAAGCCUGCUAUUUAUCCCGUUGUGAAUGCAAAUUGUUUCAUGCAGUAAACUUUGACAAAGAGGGAAUGGCAAACGAAAUGUUUGCAAUGUUGGUUUGCAAGGGUGUUUGAUGUUUAAACUAUCUAAGGAGUUGAAAUAGGCAAUGCCACCUGAGGUACCUGUACAACCGGUAAAAACAAAGAGUCCACAAGGUUUCAGCUUGCUAUUACAAGGCCAUCUUUUUUCGGUUACUUUUCUUCCAGCUCCUAGUACAUCAUGAAAAGUUAGACGUUUUGUUCUACUGAACUGUCAUUUCUGAAUUAAAAUGCAGAAUCGAGGGCGCUGUGAUCAAUGAAAGCUUGCUUGCUUAAAGAAAUGCAUUGGAGCACUUGACUACUGUAUCAGACACGCAUUCUUUUCCGAGGUAGCAAAUUAACUGAAGUUUUGCGUGAUUUCUUGCACUGUCAUGAUAUCGUGCAUUUCCCCUAGCUCUAGCUCUUGGGAGCACACUCUGAAAUCUGAAUGCAGGGAGCUAGCAUCUGGAAGCAGCUAAAUGAAGCUAAGGUGGACGAUCCUUUUUUUCAGAUUGAAAACACAGCUGUAGAUUCUCCGUGCUGGUCAGACAUUCUUAAACUCAGAUCUGUUAUUUAUGAAGGAUGUGCCUCUGGAAGUUUGGUGAUGGUCCCCGGAUACGGAUCUUGGAUUAUGUUUGGAUUCAGGAUAUCCCUUUUGCAUAUAUGCUAUCUCUUUAAAUCUGGAGGUGUCAGUUAGCGUUGUGUAGCAAGUUACUCUACAAUUCAGACGUUAUUUCAGUGACCUGCAAGAGCAGCAAUUUCGUAGACUUAUGGAAGAAUGUUGAUAGCUAUCUCUUGAUGUGCAAGAACACAUACUUCGGAGGUUGGAUUCCAAGUGACUACAUACAGUUAGAUCUAUGUACAAAAAAUUGCAAGUUGGGUCAAGAAUUGCCAGCAUGAAACAAUUGUAGAAAUUAAAGUAUAUGUGAAGAUAUGUUUCUUUCUAUGGCUGGUCAGUAACAAGUCAGUUCUGACAUGGGAUAACCUCUUACGCAGGAGACGGCAUGGUACUAAUGCUUGUUCAUUAUGUGAUAAGGAAGAAUCCAUUGAUCAUCUGUUCUUGGAAUGCCCAGCAACCUGUUUCAUUUGGAGCAUCACUGGUAGUUGUUUCGGCAGCAGGACUAACCCAGGAAUAUGUCAGGAAUAUUUGCGUUGGUCAGAGAAGCAUCUACCUAAGAAGGGAUCAGACAGUAUGAUCGGUUUUGCUGCAAUUGAGUUGGGCCAUGUGCACAUAAAUUGUACAUGCAAACCGACCAUCCUUUUGGCCAAGUAUUUCGCUGUCGUUUUAUGAAGCAAGGAUCUUCCAGGAGAUGACACUAAUGAGAGGAUGCUAAUCAGUUUAUUAGGUAUCGAUGCUUGUCUGAGUGAGGGAACCACAAGCCGCAACAUGGAAAGUAUUGCUUUUCUAAUCGCUUUUAGGGAAAUAUUUUUCCCUCGCUUCUGUGUCUUAAUUAUUUAAAUUCAAUUUUCGUGACACAAAUGGAAGUUUCUUAUGAACUGUCUUAUACAUGACGCUCCUUUUUGUCCUUGUCACAUUGUACUAUCAGUUUAUUUAUUUACAAUGAAACAGAAAGAAAAUGUCUACAUGUAGAUCAGGUAUAGGUUUCCUUCCCCUGCAGUUUGGGAUGCAACAAGCUGGAAGUUGUUUCUAACGAGUGUUUCUGCAUAGGCAAGUCACCGGAUUUCUGCAGUUGUUCGAUGUGAAGCGCGCUGAAAAGAAGGGGACAACAACCCAUGCUGUCUGGUGCCUCUAUCAAUGUAAUUGGCGCCUUGGCAGAAAGCUACUUCUGGGAAAUUUAUGGUACAGCAAUCGUAGGUUGUAGCUUUCAGAGACUGAAAUUUUUGGCAGUUUAGACAUUGGAUGGAAGUGGUAGAACCGGAUCUUUGGAUAGAUUUCAGAGACUGAAGAUGUUGCUGUAAUGCGAUCGAUCCAUUUUGAGUGAUUGGAGAGUCUAAGA